AAAACAAAAAACUGUUUGUUAUGAAUUAUCCAUUUGUUCCAAGAGAAGCGAUACACGAGUGAACAGGAAAAAUGUCCCAUAGCUCUGUUUUCUGCAACCGCUUGGCGCCUCGACCUCCACUUGAGCCAAGCAUGCACCAGAGUCGAAGACAGAGCACCAUCACUGCUUUUGCUACAAAAUCUGGAGGUGGAGGAUUUUCAUUUAAUUCGAUACUGAAAAGUUGUGGAACAUGUGAAGGAAAAGGGGCCAUCGAAUGUCCAGGAUGUAAGGGGACGGGUAAGAAUAAAAAGAAUGGAAAUAUAUUUGAACGCUGGAAAUGUUUUGACUGCCAAGGAUUUGGACUAAAGAGUUGCCCCAGCUGCGGAAAGGGCGGGUUAACACCAGAACAAAGAGGAGAAAGAUAGGAGCUUCAAACCAAGCAAUGUUCUCUCAAUUGCGUGUGGAAUUUUAAAAAGUCUAGUAAAAAUGUGCCAAAAAAAAAAAGAGAUGAGAUGUAGCGGCCCAUGAGAUUAAUAUGGUCCAGAAGCUAGGCACAAGGUACAGGGUAGCAGCAGACCCAAUAGGAUCAGGGGGAGGCUGAACUACUUGGAUGAGUACCAGACUUAUACCAGGAGCCCACGAAGCUAGAAUAUGCCAAGUUUACCUUCUUCUUCUUUUUCUUUUACGAUAGUACUUAGUUAUUUUUAAUUGU